rnacentral:rRNA from 1 species
GUACUUUACAUGCCCAGAGGACGUGGAUAACCUCGGGAAACUGAGGAUAAACCGCGAUAGGCCAAGAUUUCUGGAAUGGAUCAUGGCUGAAAUCUAUACGGCCUUUGGAUUGGACUGCGGCCGAUCAGGCUGUUGGUGAGGUAAUGGCCCACCAAACCUAUAACCGGUACGGGCUUUGAGAGAAGGAGCCCGGAGAUGGGCACUGAGACAAGGGCCCAGGCCCUAUGGGGCGCAGCAGGCGCGAAACCUCUGCAAUAGGCGAAAGCUUGACAGGGUUACUCUGAGUGAUGUCCGUUAAGGGCAUCUUUUGACACCUCUAAAAAUGGUGCAGAAUAAGGGGUGGGCAAGUCUGGUGUCAGCCGCCGCGGUAAUACCAGCACCCCGAGUGGUCGGGACGAUUAUUGGGCCUAAAGCAUCCGUAGCUUGUUCUGCAAGUCUUCCGUUAAAUCCACCUGCUCAACAGAUGGGCUGCGGAGGAUACUACAGGGCUAGGAGGCGGGAGAGGCAAGCGGUACUCAGUGGGUAGGGGUAAAAUCCACUGAUUCCCUUGAAAA